CGGGGGACGUUGUCCCCGGGCCCGCGCCCGCCGAAGCGCCCUGUGAACCCUGAUGAAGAUGGGCUGUCUGAGUACUAUGAAAAUUGUCAAAACUUUCAACAAUGGAUCUCUUGGUUCCGGCAUCGAUGAAGAACGCAGCGAAAUGCGAUAAGUAAUGUGAAUUGCAGAAUUCCGUGAAUCAUCGA
rnacentral:rRNA from 1 species